rnacentral:rRNA from 1 species
UACGAAGGGGGCUAGCGUUGCUCGGAAUUACUGGGCGUAAAGCGCACGUAGGCGGCUUUCUAAGUCGGGGGUGAAAUCCUGGAGCUCAACUCCAGAACUGCCUUCGAUACUGGAGCUUGAGUCCGGGAGAGGUGAGUGGAACUGCGAGUGUAGAGGUGAAAUCCGUAGAUAUUCGCAAGAACACCAGUGGCGAAGGCGGCUCACUGGCCCGGUACUGACGCUGAGGUGCGAAAGCGUGGGGAGCAAACAGGGAU